rnacentral:rRNA from 1 species
UUCUCGGCUCUCGCAUCGAUGAAGAACGUAGCGAAAUGCGAUACUUGGUGUGAAUUGCAGAAUCCCGUGAACCAUCGAGUCUUUGAACGCAAGUUGCGCCCUAAGCCGUCAGGCCGAGGGCACGCCUGCCUGGGCGUCACGCAA